GCCAGGUGUGGUGGCGCACGCCUGUGGUCCCAGCUAUCAGGAGGCUGAGGUGGGAGGAUCACUUGAGCCCAAGAGGCAGGGGUUGCAGUGAGCCAAGAUGGCGCCACUGCACUCCAGCCUGGGCAACAGAAUGAGACCCUGUCUCAA
rfam:Pan troglodytes isolate Yerkes chimp pedigree #C0471 (Clint) chromosome 3, whole genome shotgun sequence.